GACGAACGCUGGCGGCGUGCUUAACACAUGCAAGUCGAACGAUGACGACCGAGCUUGCUCGGUCUGAUUAGUGGCGAACGGGUGAGUAACACGUGAGCAACCUGCCCUUCACUCUGGGAUAACCUCGGGAAAUCGGGGCUAAUACCGGAUAUGAGCUCCUGUCGCAUGGCGGGUGUUGGAAAGUUUUUCGGUGAAGGAUGGGCUCGCGGCCUAUCAGUUUGUUGGUGAGGUAGUGGCUCACCAAGGCGAUGACGGGUAGCCGGCCUGAGAGGGCGACCGGCCACACUGGGACUGAGACACGGCCCAGACCCCUACGGGAGGCAGCAGUGGGGAAUAUUGCACAAUGGGCGAAAGCCUGAUGCAGCGACGCCGCGUGAGGGAUGACGGCCUUCGGGUUGUAAACCUCUUUCAGCAGGGAAGAAGCGAAAGUGACGGUACCUGCAGAAGAAGCGCCGGCUAACUACGUG
rnacentral:rRNA from 1 species